GAUGAACGCUGGCGGCGUGCCUAAUACAUGCAAGUCGAGCGAACGGACGAGAAGCUUGCUUCUCUGAUGUUAGCGGCGGACGGGUGAGUAACACGUGGAUAACCUACCUAUAAGACUGGGAUAACUUCGGGAAACCGGAGCUAAUACCGGAUAAUAUUUUGAACCGCAUGGUUCAAAAGUGAAAGACGGUCUUGCUGUCACUUAUAGAUGGAUCCGCGCUGCAUUAGCUAGUUGGUAAGGUAACGGCUUACCAAGGCAACGAUGCAUAGCCGACCUGAGAGGGUGAUCGGCCACACUGGAACUGAGACACGGUCCAGACUCCUACGGGAGGCAGCAGUAGGGAAUCUUCCGCAAUGGGCGAAAGCCUGACGGAGCAACGCCGCGUGAGUGAUGAAGGUCUUCGGAUCGUAAAACUCUGUUAUUAGGGAAGAACAUAUGUGUAAGUAACUGUGCACAUCUUGACGGUACCUAAUCAGAAAGCCACGGCUAACUACGUGCCAGCAGCCGCGGUAAUACGUAGGUGGCAAGCGUUAUCCGGAAUUAUUGGGCGUAAAGCGCGCGUAGGCGGUUUUUUAGUCUGAUGUGAAAGCCCGCGGCUCAACCGUGGAGGGUCAUUGGAAACUGGAAAACUUGAGUGCAGAAGAGGAAAGUGGAAUUCCAUGUGUAGCGGUGAAAUGCGCAGAGAUAUGGAGGAACACCAGUGGCGAAGGCGACUUUCUGGUCUGUAACUGACGCUGAUGUGCGAAAGCGUGGGGAUCAAACAGGAUUAGAUACCCUGGUAGUCCACGCCGUAAACGAUGAGUGCUAAGUGUUAGGGGGUUUCCGCCCCUUAGUGCUGCAGCUAACGCAUUAAGCACUCCGCCUGGGGAGUACGACCGCAAGGUUGAAACUCAAAGGAAUUGACGGGGACCCGCACAAGCGGUGGAGCAUGUGGUUUAAUUCGAAGCAACGCGAAGAACCUUACCAAAUCUUGACAUCCUUUGACAACUCUAGAGAUAGAGCUUUCCCCUUCGGGGGACAAAGUGACAGGUGGUGCAUGGUUGUCGUCAGCUCGUGUCGUGAGAUGUUGGGUUAAGUCCCGCAACGAGCGCAACCCUUAAGCUUAGUUGCCAUCAUUAAGUUGGGCACUCUAAGUUGACUGCCGGUGACAAACCGGAGGAAGGUGGGGAUGACGUCAAAUCAUCAUGCCCCUUAUGAUUUGGGCUACACACGUGCUACAAUGGACAAUACAAAGGGCAGUCAAACCGUGAGGUCAAGCAAAUCCCAUGAAGUUGUCCUCCAGUUCGGAUUGUAUUCUGGAACUCCACUUACAUAAACCUGGAAUCCCCUGGUAACUCUAAAUCACCAGGCUACCGGUGAAUACGUUUCCCGGGUCU
rnacentral:rRNA from 1 species